AGCGAACGCUGGCGGCAGGCCUAACACAUGCAAGUCGAACGAACUCUUCGGAGUUAGUGGCGGACGGGUGAGUAACACGUGGGAACGUGCCUUUAGGUUCGGAAUAACUCAGGGAAACUUGAGCUAAUACCGGAUGUGCCCUUCGGGGGAAAGAUUUAUCGCCUUUAGAGCGGCCCGCGUCUGAUUAGCUAGUUGGUGAGGUAAAGGCUCACCAAGGCGACGAUCAGUAGCUGGUCUGAGAGGAUGAUCAGCCACAUUGGGACUGAGACACGGCCCAAACUCCUACGGGAGGCAGCAGUGGGGAGUAUUACGCAAUGAGCGAAAGCCUGACGCAGCCAUGCCGCGUGAAUGAUGAAGGUCUUAGGAUUGUAAAAUUCUUUCACCGGAGACGAUAAUGACGGUACCCGGAGAAGAAGCCCCGGCUAACUUCGUG
rnacentral:rRNA from 1 species